CGCAGAUUCGCAGUCGCAGAGUCACAAGAAAGUAGAAUGUAGAAGUCUAGAAGUAGUUUUUUCUAAUGAACUUGUUAGUUAAAAUUUGUUAAGUUAAACAGAACACAGGUAACUAAAGCAGAACUAGAGUCACGGAACCCAAUGACCCUACGAAUUAAAGUCAACAAAAAACACAAGCCGUCUGUACAGUUGGAUUCCCUUAGUUCGUUGAUCCGAAUAUGCAUUCGGAGCAGCAAAUUUGACGUAGAACGCACCUGGCGUUAUGCAAUUAUGGAUACAAAUCACAUUUCGUUCUCUUGUUUAUUGCUAUUUUAGUCUUACAAGGGUUGCCCACCUUUCUGGCAGCACUUGACAGAUAUGAUCAAGCAUUGAAUUGGUAUUCAAAUAACGCACGAAGCGAACACCGAUAUGAUCGCCCAGGGGGUGCUUCCAUGUGUGCCUUGUUGAUCAUUUCCUCAAACAAGAAAAAAAAAUGUUAAUGAAGAAGAAAGGAGAGAAGGAACGUGGCUAUGGCAUCGAUAUGGUUCGUGUAAUCUACCCGGGGCAGUGGUCGGGUUGAAAGCAAAAGUUGGUGCUGGUGGUGAGGAUACGGAGGGAGAAGCUCACCAGCAGCUUGGAACGG